UCCGUAGGUGAACCUGCGGAAGGAUCAUUAAUGAUUAACUGUCUGUCGAGCUUGCUCACAGACUUAUCAUAUCCAUAACACCUGUGCACUUGUCGGAUGGCUUAGUGAAGACCGCAAGGUUGGAACUAUCCAUCUACUUUACAUAACAAUUUAGUAACAAAUGUAGUCUUAUUAUAACAUAAUAAAACUUUCAACAACGGAUCUCUUGGCUCUCGCAUCGAUGAAGAACGCAGCGAAAUGCGAUAAGUAAUGUGAAUUGCAGAAUUCAGUGAAUCAUCGAAUCUUUGAACGCACCUUGCGCUCCCUGGUAUUCCGGGGAGCAUGCCUGUUUGAGUGUCAUGAAAACCCUCAACCUUAGAUUGGUUAACACCUUUCUUUGGCUUGGAUUUGGACGUUUGCCGAUGAUAAGUCGGCUCGUCUUAAAAGUAAUAGCUGGAUCUGUCUCGCGACAUGGUUUGACUUGGCGUAAUAAGUAUUUCGCUAAGGACAUCUUCGGAUGGCCGCGUUGCAAGACUAAAGACCGCUUUCUAAUCCAUUGAUCUUCGGAUUAAUAUUCUUGACAUCUGGCCUCAAAUCAGGUAGGACUACCCGCUGAACUUAAGCAUAUCAAUAAGCGGAGGA
rnacentral:rRNA from 2 species